AUGAUUUGUAAAAUCACAAAACUAUGAGAUGUGCGGUUAGGAUGAUGUAGGCUCCCUAGAGUUGAGUGGGUGGUUGGUUGCAGUAAGAUCUAACGGGUGAAAAUGAUCAAAAGGAUAGAUCUAACGGCGGAAAACUUGGAUCGAUAGCACGAAGUAUUUGGUGCUAUCACGUUUUCUGCCGUUAGAUUUACCUCUUUUAUCAUUUUUAAUCGUUUGAUUAUAGUAUUCAACUAACCACCCACUCAACCCUACGGGGCCUAUAUCAUCCUAACCGCACAUAUUUUAAUCCAAAGGCAGAAAACUUAAUAGCACCAAGUCAUUAGUGCUAUUAAUAGUAUUCCAACCUAGUUAUAUAUAUAUAUAUAUAUAUAUAUA
rnacentral:lncRNA from 1 species